rnacentral:rRNA from 1 species
GACGAACCGUGCGAACGUUAUUCGGAAUCACUGGGCGUAAAGCGCACGUAGGCGGAUGUGUCAGUCAGGGGUGAAAUCCCGGGGCUCAACCUCGGAACUGCCUUUGAUACAGCACGUCUCGAGUCCGGAAGAGGUGGGUGGAAUUCCUAGUGUAGAGGUGAAAUUCGUAGAUAUUAGGAAGAACACCGGUGGCGAAGGCGGCCCACUGGUCCGGUACUGACGCUGAGGUGCGAAAGCGUGGGGAGCAAACAGG